AUUGGAUGUUUUGCAAAAAACUCUGUACAAGACAUGAUGCCUAAGUGGGCAUGUUAUCAUGAUGAACUGCCAAUCACCAGUUGCCUGUAGCUAUGGCCGUUUUUGUCCUAUUGCAUCUCUCAGCCAAUGAAGAAUGUUGAGGUAGUACUCCUUAUUAAUUGUUUGGCCUAGAGGGGCGUACUUGUGAUGUACAUCACCUUCCCAAUCAAAAAACACAGUUAACAUGGUCUUGAUCUGUCUGCAACUUUGUCAUGCCUUUUCAGUUGUGGAGAACCAGGAGACUUCUGUUGUGACAACUGGGCCAUUGUUUCCAGAUCAUAGCCAUAGAUCCACAAUUCAUUUUCAGUUAUGACCUCCUUGAGGAAAUCUGGUUCAUUGGUAGUAGUUUGAAUCAAGUCAUUAGCAGCAGCAACACGAUGUUCCUUCUGCUCUGGUAGCAGAAACCAUGGAACAAAGUUUGCCAUGACAUGUUUCAUGCCAAGAUCCUGCAUCAAAAUCUCAUACACAAUUGUUUUGGGAAUCCCCAGAUAAGCUUCUAGUUCUCACACUGUCAGUCACCAAUCUUUGUGGAUUGCAUCCCACACACAGUCAGCAU